GACGAACGCUGGCGGCGUGCUUAACACAUGCAAGUCGAGCGGUAAGGCCCUUUCGGGGGUACACGAGCGGCGAACGGGUGAGUAACACGUGGGUGACCUGCCCUCAGCUCUGGGAUAAGCCCGGGAAACUGGGUCUAAUACCGGAUAUGACUCCAUGACGCAUGCUGUGGGGUGGAAAGCCUUGUGCGGCUGAGGAUGGGCCCGCGGCCUAUCAGCUUGUUGGUGGGGUGANGGCCUACCAAGGCGACGACGGGUAGCCGGCCUGAGAGGGCGACCGGCCACACUGGGACUGAGAUACGGCCCAGACUCCUACGGGAGGCAGCAGUGGGGAAUCUUGCGCAAUGGGCGAAAGCCUGACGCAGCGACGCCGCGUGAGGGAUGACGGCCU
rnacentral:rRNA from 1 species